rnacentral:rRNA from 1 species
UACGUAGGGGGCUAGCGUUGUCCGGAAUCAUUGGGCGUAAAGAGCGUGUAGGCGGCCCGGUAAGUCCGCUGUGAAAGUCGGGGGCUCAACCCUCGAAUGCCGGUGGAUACUGUCGGGCUAGAGUGCGGAAGAGGCGAGUGGAAUUCCUGGUGUAGCGGUGAAAUGCGCAGAUAUCAGGAGGAACACCGAUUGCGAAGGCAGCUCGCUGGGACGUCACUGACGCUGAGGCGCGAAAGCCAGGGGAGCAAACGGG